rnacentral:rRNA from 1 species
GACGAACGCUGGCGGCGUGCUUAACACAUGCAAGUCACGGGGGUCCCGCAAGGGAUAACCGGCGAACGGGUGCGUAACACGUGAACAACCUGCCCUCGUGUGGGGGAGUAGCCAUGCUAACGCGUGGGUAAUACCGCAUACGUUCCCCUGGAGGAGUCUCUGGGGGAGGAAAGCUCCGGCGCACGGGGAGGGGUUCGCGGCCUAUCAGCUAGUUGGCGGGGUAAUGGCCCACCAAGGCGACGACGGGUAGCUGGCUGAGAGGAUGGCCAGCCACAUUGGGACUGAGAGACGGCCCAGACUCUACGGGAGGCAGCAGUGGGGAAUCUUGCGCAAUGGCCGAAAGGCUGACGCAGCGACGCCGCGUGUGGGAUGAA